CAGGACGAACGCUGGCGGCGUGCUUAACACAUGCAAGUCGAGCGGUAAGGCCCUUUCGGGGGUACACGAGCGGCGAACGGGUGAGUAACACGUGAGCAAUCUGCCCCUGUCUCUGGGAUAACCACUGGAAACGGUGGCUAAUACCGGAUAUGACCUCCUUCUGCAUGGUUGGUGGUGGAAAAGUCCGCUGGACAGGGAUGAGCUCGCGGCCUAUCAGCUUGUUGGUGGGGUAAUGGCCUACCAAGGCGACGACGGGUAGCCGGCCUGAGAGGGUGACCGGCCACACUGGGACUGAGACACGGCCCAGACUCCUACGGGAGGCAGCAGUGGGGAAUAUUGGACAAUGGGCGAAAGCCUGAUCCAGCAACGCCGCGUGAGGGAUGACGGCCUUCGGGUUGUAAACCUCUUUCAGCAGGGACGAAGCGAAAGUGACGGUACCUGCAGAAGAAGGACCGGCCAACUACGUGCCAGCAGCCGCGGUAAUACGUAGGGUCCGAGCGUUGUCCGGAAUUAUUGGGCGUAAAGGGCUCGUAGGCGGUUUGUCACGUCGGGAGUGAAAACUCAGGGCUUAACCCUGAGCGUGCUUCCGAUACGGGCUGACUAGAGGGAUGCAGGGGAGAACGGAAUUCCUGGUGUAGCGGUGGAAUGCGCAGAUAUCAGGAGGAACACCGGUGGCGAAGGCGGUUCUCUGGGCAUUUCCUGACGCUGAGGAGCGAAAGCAUGGGGAGCGAACAGGAUUAGAUACCCUGGUAGUCCAUGCCGUAAACGUUGGGCGCUAGGUGUGGGGACCUUCCACGGUUUCCGUGCCGCAGCUAACGCAUUAAGCGCCCCGCCUGGGGAGUACGGCCGCAAGGCUAAAACUCAAAGGAAUUGACGGGGGCCCGCACAAGCGGCGGAGCAUGCUGAUUAAUUCGAUGCAACGCGAAGAACCUUACCUGGGUUUGACAUAUGCCGGAAAGCGCCAGAGAUGG
rnacentral:rRNA from 1 species